rnacentral:rRNA from 1 species
UACGUAGGGUGCGAGCGUUGUCCGGAAUUAUUGGGCGUAAAGGGCUCGUAGGCGGUCUGUCGCGUCGGGAGUGAAAACUCAGGGCUUAACCCUGAGCCUGCUUCCGAUACGGGCAGACUAGAGGUAUGCAGGGGAGAACGGAAUUCCUGGUGUAGCGGUGAAAUGCGCAGAUAUCAGGAGGAACACCGGUGGCGAAGGCGGUUCUCUGGGCAUUACCUGACGCUGAGGAGCGAAAGCCAGGGGAGCAAACGGG